CGGUGCUUGCAUCACCUGACACCGAGUGACCGGAUUAAUCGGAUUAACUCGCUCACUUGCUCACUGGUGACGAGCCCGAACCUUCCGGGCCCCGUCUCCGUCACGGAGGU
rfam:Streptomyces albolongus strain YIM 101047, complete genome.